rnacentral:tRNA from 1 species
GCCCAGGUAGCUCAGCUGGUAGAGCAUCAGAUUUUUACUCAGAGGGCCCAGGGUGCAAGUCCCUGUCCAGGUG